rnacentral:rRNA from 1 species
UACUCAGUUCAGACUGCAGGCUGCAACUCGCCUGCACGAAGUCGGAAUUGCUAGUAAUCGUAGGUCAGCAUACUACGGUGAAUACGUUCCCGGGCCUUGUACACACCGCCCGUCAAACCAUGAGAGUUGGCAACACCCGAAGUCGGUAGUCUAACCGCAAGGAGGACGCCGCCGAAGGUGGGGUUGAUGAUUAGGGUUAAGUCGUAACAAGGUAAC